rnacentral:rRNA from 1 species
AUUGAACGCUGGCGGCAGGCCUAACACAUGCAAGUCGAAUGGUAACAGGAAACAGCUUGCUGUUUCGCUGACGAGUGGCGGACGGGUGAGUAAUGUCUGGGAAACUGCCUGAUGGAGGGGGAUAACUACUGGAAACGGUAGCUAAUACCGCAUAACGUCGCAAGACCAAAGAGGGGGACCUUCGGGCCUCUUGCCAUCAGAUGUGCCCAGAUGGGAUUAGCUAGUAGGUGGGGUAACGGCUCACCUAGGCGACGAUCCCUAGCUGGUCUGAGAGGAUGACCAGCCACACUGGAACUGAGACACGGUCCAGACUCCUACGGGAGGCAGCAGUGGGGAAUAUUGCACAAUGGGCGCAAGCCUGAUGAAGCCAUGCCGCGUGUAUGAAGAAGGCCUUCGGGUUGUAAAGUACUUUCAGCGGGGAGGAAGGGAGUAAAGUUAAUACCUUUGCUAAUUGACGUUACCCGCAGAAGAAGCACCGGCUAACUCCGUG